rnacentral:rRNA from 1 species
CACGUAGGGUGCGAGCGUUGUCCGGAAUUAUUGGGCGUAAAGAGCUCGUAGGCGGUGUGUCGCGUCGGCCGUGAAAACCUGCAGCUUAACUGUGGGCUUGCGGUCGAUACGGGCAUCACUGGAGUUCGGCAGGGGAGACUGGAAUUCCAGGUGUAGCGGUGAAAUGCGUAGAUAUCGUGGAGGAACACCGGUGGCGAAGGCGGUUCUCUGGGCAUUACCUGACGCUGAGGAGCGAAAGUGGUGGGGAGCGAACAGG